rnacentral:rRNA from 1 species
AUACAGAGGGUGCGAGCGUUAAUCGGAAUUACUGGGCGUAAAGCGCGCGUAGGCGGCUUAUUAAGUCAGAUGUGAAAUCCCCGGGCUCAACCUGGGAACUGCAUCUGAUACUGGUAAGCUAGAGUUUUGGAGAGGGAAGUAGAAUUUCAGGUGUAGCGGUGAAAUGCAUAGAGAUCUGAAGGAAUACCAGUGGCGAAGGCGACUUCCUGGCCAAAAACUGACGCUGAGGUGCGAAAGCGUGGGUAGCGAACGGGAUUAGAAACCCUAGUAGUCC